rnacentral:rRNA from 1 species
UGAGGUGUGGAUAGGGGAGAAAUUCCAAUCGAACCCGGAGAUAGCUGGUUCUCCUCGAAAUAGCUUUAGGGCUAGCCUCAUACAAGUCUUGCGGAGGUAGAGCACUGAAUUCCUACGGGGGCGUCAAAGCUUACCAAGGGAUAUCAAACUCCGAAUGCCGUGUAGAUGAUGUAUGGGAGUCAGACUAUCCGAGAUAAGUUGGGUAGUCGAAAGGGAAAGAGCCCAGACCUGCAGCUAAGGCCCCAAAAUGUGUGUUAAGUGGAAAAGGAUGUGGGAUUUCGAAGACAACUAGGAUGUUGGCUUAGAAGCAGCCAUCCAUUAAAAGAGUGCGUAAUAGCUCACUAGUCGAGAGGUCCUGCGCCGAAAAUGUCCGGGGCUGAAACACACUGCCGAAGCUCAGGAAUCUGCGAAUGCAGGUUGGUAGAGGAGCAUUCUUAAAGAGACGAAGCUGUACCGAAAGGAGCAGUGGAUUUUUAAGAAGAGAGAAUGCCGGAAUGAGUAGCGAGAAAGAGGUGAGAAUCCUCUUGGCCGAAUAUCUAAGGUUUCCAGGGUAAAGCUGAUCUGCCCUGGGUAAGUCGGGGCCUAAGGCGAGGUCGAAAGACGUAGUCGAUGGAUAACAGGUUGAAAUUCCUGUACUAUCCUGUAACAGAACUGUGGGGACGCAGACAGAGAGCACAAGCCGGGAAUGGAAAGACCGGUGCAAGCGAGGUAGGAGUACAUCAGGCAAAUCCGGUGUGCAAUCCGAAGACGUGAUGCGGAUCGAAAAGAAGUAGAGAAGUGUGUGAGCUGGCUGCCAAGAAAAGCCGCUAUUGUUUACAGGAUACCCGUACCGUAAACCGACACAGGUGGAUGAGGAGAGAAUCCUAAGGCCGACGGGAGAAGCAUUGUUAAGGAACUCGGCAAAAUGACUCCGUAACUUCGGGAGAAGGAGUGCCAUGCGAAUGGCCGCAGAGAAUUGGCCCAAGCAACUGUUUAGCAAAAACACAGGUCUAUGCGAAACCGAAAGGUGAGGUAUAUGGGCUGACGCCUGCCCGGUGCUGGAAGGUUAAGGGGAGAGGUUAGCGCAAGCGAAGCUUUGAACUUAAGCCCCAGUAAACGGCGGCCGUAACUAUAACGGUCCUAAGGUAGCGAAAUUCCUUGUCGGGUAAGUUCCGACCCGCACGAAAGGCGUAAUGAUUUGAGCGCUGUCUCGACAAUGCACCCGGUGAAAUUGAAAUACCAGUGAAGAUGCUGGUUACCUGCGCCAGGACGGAAAGACCCCAUGGAGCUUUACUC